GGGCUGGCCCUGCGCAACAGUUACCUGUGAACCCCGUCAGGUCCGGAAGGAAGCAGCGGUAAGCAUCGUAGUUGUGUGCCGCAGCAAGCUGGUCCCUU
rnacentral:SRP_RNA from 1 species